GACGAACGCUGGCGGCGUGCUUAACACAUGCAAGUCGAACGGAAAGGCCCUGCUUUUGUGGGGUGCUCGAGUGGCGAACGGGUGAGUAACACGUGAGUAACCUGCCCUUUACUUUGGGAUAACUUCAGGAAACUGGGGCUAAUACCGGAUAGGAGCUCCUGCUGCAUGGUGGGGGUUGGAAAGUUUCGGCGGUUGGGGAUGGACUCGCGGCUUAUCAGCUUGUUGGUGGGGUAGUGGCUUACCAAGGCUUUGACGGGUAGCCGGCCUGAGAGGGUGACCGGCCACAUUGGGAAUGAGAUACGGCCCAGACUCCUACGGGAGGCAGCAGGGGGGAAUAUUGCACAAUGGGCGGAAGCCUGAUGCAGCAACGCCGCGUGCGGGAUGACGGCCUUCGGGUUGUAAACCGCUGUCGCCUGUGACGAAGCGUGAGUGACGGUAAUGGGUAAAGAAGCACCGGCUAACUACGUG
rnacentral:rRNA from 1 species